CUGCGGCUUCGGCACAGCCCUGGACACCGUUCUUCGUGAUCGGUUCGUGCUCGGAUUCCACACCGGGCCGGAGCGAGACCGAUUGUUUGAGCAGAACUCGACCGAAUUGACCUUCGCAAGGGCGGUGGAGGUGGCGAAGCAGGCUACGAGCGCGCGCGCAGCGCGGGUGGCGGCCGGGAGCUCCCUGGCAGCAGCACCGUCGGUGAAGGAGGAGCCGCUGUACCGCAUGAGCGGGGCCCGCGGCGGCGCAGGCCGGGCCGCCGCCGGGCCCGCCCGCCCCGGGAACGAAGAGCGGUGCAAAGUGUGCGGUCUCCGUAAUCACAAUGCGGAAAAGUGUCGGUAUAAAAAUCUAAAGUGUCAAAAGUGUGGAAAGAAAGGCCACCUAAAGAAAGUGUGUGUAAAAAAAGAGUGUAGUGUGCAUAACCUAGAUGUCGAUACGGAAUGCGACGAGAGCAACCUUCAGGCAAUCUGUAAAGAGUGCGAACUAUUUCAUUUGAGAGCUUCGAAAUAGUGUUGGAGGAGUGUGGUAUACCUACCUCACGAUAGAUAUAUGCGGGCUACCAUACUAUGAGCAGUCAAUAAACGAGCUUCACUGUG